rnacentral:rRNA from 1 species
AUUGAACGCUGGCGGCAUGCCUUACACAUGCAAGUCGAACGGCAGCACGGGAGCAAUCCUGGUGGCGAGUGGCGAACGGGUGAGUAAAGUAUCGGAACGUGCCCAGUCGUGGGGGAUAACGUAGCGAAAGUUACGCUAAUACCGCAUACGAUCUAUGGAUGAAAGCGGGGGAUCGCAAGACCUCGCGCGAUUGGAGCGGCCGAUAUCAGAUUAGGUAGUUGGUGGGGUAAAGGCUCACCAAGCCGACGAUCUGUAGCUGGUCUGAGAGGACGACCAGCCACACUGGGACUGAGACACGGCACAGACGCCUACGGGAGGCAGCACUGGGGAAUUUUGGACAAUGGGCGAAAGCCUGAUCCAGCCAUGCCGCGUGCAGGAUGAAGGCCUUCGGGUUGUAAACUGCUUUUGUACGGAACGAAAAGGUUUGGCCUAAUAAGCUGAGCUCAUGACGGUACCGUAAGAAUAAGCACCGGCUAACUCUGUGCCAGCGGCCGCCGUAA